GUAUAUUUUAAUGAUCAUAUUGAUCUUUAAACCACUACAGAGACACGAUGCUUUCAUCUACAGUUACACACGAGAGGAUUAUCAGUGCAGCGACACAACAGGACAACUCCAGAUCCUCUCAAUGCCUGAGCUGUUCUCAUCAGAGCAGUCACACAUGGGGAAUAUAAUACAAGCUGUGCUAGACUUCAUGUAGAAAGAUUAGAGUAUAUAUGGGAAAGCAGUCAUUUUAUUUUCUACAAAUCUACAUUGAGCUCUAUGACACUGAUUUGACCAAACUGUAAACAUAUUAUUAUUAUACACACUCCAGUACAGCAGGUUGCGGUAUCAGCUUCAUGCUGCUCUCUGUAACUCGCCACACAAGAAGAAGAAGAGGAGGAGGAAGAGGUUAUCCAGUUUCUUCUAGAGUUUCUGCUGGAGAUCAAACUCUUCAGGUCCAUCAUGGAGGACACACACACAGAUCAGGAUUUGUCUACAGGAUGCAGUUCAGUUCAUCAGAAGAGAGCAGAAGCAGAGCCCAGCUGUGUGUCUAUGAAGAGUCACGCGUCUAUGGGUCCACCAAUAGCAUUUAAGAGUGAAAACACAGGACCUGCUGUCAGUCUGGACUGGAGCUCUGCAGACAAACCCCCGAUGAGUGACCUUCUGAAGACUGAGUGAUGAGGAGGAGGAUAAGGGGAGCUGCGGGAGGCGGGAAUAACAGUCAGCUGACACAGUGCAGUUUAUACUGCUGCUUAUAUAGUCAUGUGAUGAUGAUUGACACGCCUGCAUGAUUAAGCUCCUCCCACACCUAC